CUUCCGUUUCCUCCUGCCUCCUGAGCUGGGGUGCUGCUCCUCACUGCCAGGCACCUCCUAGCCUCUCCGUACCACUGGUGUCCACAGCAGCGCUCCUGGCCCCCAACUGUCAUCACUGCCUGCUAGGCCUCAGAUGAAAUGCAGGCCAUCAAGUGUGUGGUGGUGGGUGAUGGAGCCGUGGGCAAGACAUGCCUUCUCAUCAGCUACACCACCAAUGCCUUCCCCGGAGAAUACAUCCCCACUGUGUUUGACAACUACUCAGCCAAUGUGAUGGUGGACAGUAAACCUGUGAACCUGGGGCUGUGGGACACUGCAGGCCAGGAGGACUAUGACCGCCUCCGGCCACUCUCCUACCCACAGACAGACGUGUUCCUCAUCUGCUUCUCGCUAGUCAGCCCGGCCUCCUACGAGAACGUCCGAGCCAAGUGGUUCCCUGAGGUACGGCACCACUGCCCCAGCACCCCCAUCAUCCUGGUGGGUACCAAGCUGGACCUUCGAGAUGACAAGGACACCAUUGAGAAGCUGAAGGAGAAGAAGCUGGCUCCCAUCACCUACCCGCAGGGCCUGGCACUGGCCAAGGAUAUUGGUAUGAUGCUCGAACUCAGAGAAGGGAGCUGGGGGUUGGAGGCUCCUGGACACAGCCUUGUCCCAGCGCUAUGCUGUGUGGUCAAACUCUGUUUUCCAAACCAUUGAACCAGCUGCGUGACCUGGGCUGGUCCCUCAGCCUCUCUGUGCCUGAGGUUCUGUCAAGAAGGUAUAGCAGCAAUGGUGGCUUCUGCCACGUCAGUGUCUAGGUAAAUGACUUGUUUCACGGUACCCAGAGCGUCACUGAAUGAGGGGUUCUGUGUGAGAUGUCACGGCAGCAGCCGGGUGCUCAAAGCAAAGGGUUGAUAAGAACAGUGAAGCAGGGGUGGGAGGCAUAACCUAUGACUGCUUGGAGCACAGGCAACCAAGUCUAGUCAGGCUGUUUCUGAAAGGCUUUCUGGAGGAGAUGUCCCUGCUGAAGACUUCGGGGUGACUCAGUCCUUUGUGCUUGGCCCUCACCUUCCUUUCUUCAGCCAUUCUGACUUUCCUCCAGUCACUCUUUGCCUGCAAGGACCUGGCAGAGGAGGCUUGACCCUUCAAGGUCACCCAGCUGGGGAAGGGUGGUGGCUGAGAUUAAAAGCAUGGAAGAGGGUUGCUGGCUAGGUGAGUGGGGACACCUCGCCCCGCUAAGCUCUCCAUCCCCAGGAGACCUGACUCUGGGUCUAGCCUCUCCUGUGGUGUCCCCCUAAGGCAGAACUACAAGCCUAGGUCUGACCUCCACCCAGCCCUGCACCUCUUCCUCUGCAGGAAUCGGGAGGGAGGGGCUCUUCACAGGAAGAGAAACCGCAGCCUUCUUGUGACUGUCACGGCCACCUCCCUAGGGGCCUCUCUGCUGCUUCACCCAGGGCCUUAGCCUCACAUGUGUCAGGACGUGCCCAGCCUUCGCUUCCUAACCAGCCUGUCCCCAGAGGGGUCUGCAUUGAUUGGGGUAUUGGGGAACAAACCUAGGACUUCUCUCACACUAGACAAGCACUCUACCACUGACUCUCCCACCCCAUUAGAGUCGUCCUCUCACCUCUCAAGGUACAUACAGUUCAUCACAUGGGAGGGAAUGAGAGGGUAGCAGGAAUGUGAGGCAGCUUGUCACAAUCCAGUCCGGGUGCAGAGAAAGAGAGAGAUACGAUAUUUUAAUUUAUUCUUUGAUGAUUUUAUGCAUAGUAAACAAUCUGUCUUGAUUAUAUCCACUCUGAACCCUUCCUCCAGUUUCCCCAGACACCUGACACAUACCCAUCUUCCCUUCAUGUCCUGGGUAUAUGUGUGCUUGUGUGCUUGUGGUGUGUGUGUGUGUGGUGUGUGUGUGUGUGUGUGUGGUGUGUCUGUGGGGGGGUGUUAUGUGUGUGUUGGUGUGUGCAUGAUGGGGGUGUGAUGUGUGUGGGUGUGUAUAUGUGUGUGUGAUAUGUGUAUGUAUAUGUGGUAUGUGAUAUGUGAGGUGUGAUGUAUAUGGUCUGUGUGUGAGAUGUGUGUGUGUGUGUGUGUGGUAUAUGUGUGUGGUGUGUGUGAGAGACAUAUGUGAUGUUUGUGUGUGGUGUGUUUGUGAGAUGUAGUGUGUGUGAGAUGUUUGGUGUGAUGUGUGUGGGGUAUGUGUGUGUGUGUGAGUGUGAGAGAGAGAGAUGUGUGAUGUGUGUGUGUUAGAUGUGGUGUAUGUGAGAGGUGUGUGAUGUGUGUGUGUGUGGUGUAUGUGUGAGAUGUGGUGUGUGUGUGUGUGUGUAUGUGUGUCCCAUUGAGUCCAGUUAGAGUUGCCUGCUGGAGUGUCCACCUAUGGCAGCUUUGACCUUGCACAGGUCUCAUAGCUGCUGUGAAUUCAUGAGUGCAAUGACCAUGUAAUGUCCAGAAGACAUUCCCAGCACUUUGUGGCACCCUGACUUUCUGUUCCAUCUUGCUCAGUGUCCCUUAAGCCUUGGAGUGGGAUGGGAGUGUGUGUGAUGUCAGUGUCCCACUUAGGACAGGGCACUCGGUAAUUACUUAGUUUCCGCACUUAGACCAAUCUGGGUCUCUGCAUUGACUGCUGCCCGCUGCAGAAAAGCUUCUCCUUCUCUGGCUGAGGUUAUCUAUCUCUCCCCCUCGCCUUCCCUCCCCCUGCUCAUCUCACUGUGGAGCCUAAGUUAGCCUCUGAUUUGUGGAAAUUCCCUGCCUCAGCGUUCCUGGUGCUGGAUUUACAGGCCUCAUUCAUCAGCCAUUCUUGGCCACACUUCUUCCUCAUAAAGUGCGUGUUCUCCAGUGACAGGGCCCUGCAAAUGGGGUCCAUUCCUUCCUGCAUCAUCGAUUGCCUGUGAGCUCCUCUGAUCUGGGUCUUAGACUGUGUGUGUGUGUGUGUGUGUGUGUGUGUGUGUGUGUGUGUGUGUGUGUGUGGUAUGUCGGGGGGAGAGAGAGAGAGAGAAAGAAGGGGGGAGGGAGAGAGAGUGUGUGUUCUUCAGCCUGUGACAUUUCUCCCUGAGGCUAU